AACCUGCGGAAGGAUCAUUAUUGAAAUAAACCUGAUGGGUUGUUGCUGGUUCUCUAGGGAGCAUGUGCACACCUUGUCAUCUUUAUAUCUCCACCUGUGCACUUUUUGUAGACCUUUCAGGUCUAUGUUGCUUCAUUUACCCCAAUGUAUGUUAAUAGAAUGUUGUGCCUAUAUAAUAUAUACAACUUUCAGCAACGGAUCUCUUGGCUCUCGCAUCGAUGAAGAACGCAGCGAAAUGCGAUAAGUAAUGUGAAUUGCAGAAUUCAGUGAAUCAUCGAAUCUUUGAACGCACCUUGCGCUCCUUGGUAUUCCGAGGAGCAUGCCUGUUUGAGUGUCAUUAAUAUAUCAACCUUCUCUUGUUUGAGUUGUUUGGAUGUGGGGGUUUGCUGGACUCUUAAAUGAAUUCAGCUCCCCUGAAAUGCAUUAGCAGAACAAACCUGUUCAUUGGCGUGAUAAUUAUCUAUGCUAUUGAAUGUGAGGGCAGUUCAGCUUUCUAAUCGUCCUUGGACAAUUUAUCAUUAAUGUGACCUCAAAUCAGGUAGGACUACCCGCUGAACUUAAGCAUAUCAAUAAGCGGAGGAAAAGAAACUAACAAGGAUUCCCCUAGUAACUGCGAGUGAAGCGGGAAAAGCUCAAAUUUAAAAUCUGGCGGCCUUUUUG
rnacentral:rRNA from 1 species